UACGUAGGGACCAAGCGUUGUUCGGAUUUACUGGGCGUAAAGGGCGCGUAGGCGGCAUGACAAGUCACUUGUGAAAUCUUCGGGCUUAACCCGGAACGGCCAAGUGAUACUGUCAUGCUAGAGUGCAGAAGGGGCAAUCGGAAUUCUCGGUGUAGCAGUGAAAUGCAUAGAUAUCGUGAGGAAUACCAGAGGCGAAGGCGGCUACCUGGACAAUUGCUGACGCUCAGGCACGAAAGCGUGGGGAGCAAAAGGG
rnacentral:rRNA from 1 species